CUCAGUGAUUUGCGCCAAGGGUUCGGCUUCCACCCACUUAGUGAAGUAGUCGAUCGCGACGACUAUGAACUUUCGUUGUCCGGAUGCCGGAGGAAAAGGUCCGAGUAUGUCGAUUCUCCACUGGGCGAAGGGCCACGGGGCGACGACCGGAGUAAGCUGGUUGGCGGGUCAGUGUUAUAUGUUGGCAUACCUAUAGUACGGUUCGCACCUCC
rnacentral:lncRNA from 1 species